rnacentral:misc_RNA from 1 species
CAGCUCCAAUGUGUUGAGCCUGUUGAAAACAGCAAGAAAAACAAAAUGCAUGUUUGAGGAAUCUAACCAUAUAAUUAAUCUAAGAUAGCUGGAAGAAGCAUCUUAAUUAAUCCAAAUAAUUUAGCUUUCAUUAUUCAAAUAGAGAUGCUGGUACAAUAUCUCUACAUGAAUAGAAUCUUCAACAUAUCUAUUGUCUUAUAUAUG